UAGAAACACUGGUUCCUGUAUGAUCACCAAAGUUAAGCAUUGUCAAGCCUAGUCAGUACCUAGAUGGGUGACUGCUUGAGAAUAACAAGUGUUAU